rnacentral:lncRNA from 1 species
GGUAAUAUGUAUACGAGCCUUACCCCUAUCCGAAAGGAUAGAGAGGCUGUUUCCAAUCGACCCUCGGCGCAUAGAAUAAAAUGGAAAGCAGCAUUAAAACAAAAACAAAGACAAAAUUAGAAACAAAAACAAAACAAAACAAAACAAUAAAGCACUAGUAAAUCCCGCAGAAAUAACGUAAAUGAUUAUGGAAACAUAAGAAACAUAAAUACAAUCGCAUGCAUAAUAACAAACAGUAACUACCAUACUAACAACCAUAAGGGGGACAUAAGCUAAAACACAAAUCAUCUAUGGGUAACCUUGCUGUCCCACACCCAACCCCUAAUAACAAACAGUAACUAACAUACUAACAAUCAUAAGGGGGACAGAAGCUAAAACACAAAUCAUCCAUGAGUAACCUUGCUGUCCCACACCCAACCCCGGGAGAGGCGUACGAAGCACUCUAUGAGCCCCUAGCCUACAACACUGAUUCUAGACCUCCAGACUCCCCUNNNN